GGAUUCUACUGUGGCUGUGGCGUAGGUGAGCAGCUGUAGCUCCAAUUUGACCCCUAGCUUGGAAACCUCCUUAUGCCGCAAGUAUGGGCCUAAAAAGCAAAAAAGAAAAGAAAAGCUUCUCUCCCACCCAGCUCCUCAAUUCCCAAAGCAAUAAGUAUUACCAGUUUCUUCUUCCACAGAAGACUCUGUGCAUGUACGUAGCAAAAACGUAUUUUUUCUCUUCUUGCCCCAAAUGUAGCAAGCUUUACACACUUUUCUAUACCUUGCUUCUUCUAUUUAGCAAUAUACCUUGGAGAACUCUGUAUAUCAGUCUACGAAGAAUUCUCAGUUAUUUUUUCUUGUGGUUGCAGAGUUCCUCUGUGUGGAUGUGCCAUAAUCCACUUUAAACAGGUUGCAUUAUAUUCCAUCCAUGGCUGAAGGUGGGUUGUACAGGAAUGCAUGCUUUCUGCACCAUUGCAGUGCUGCUGCAUUUGACUUUGGAUAAGGAGAGAGCUCCCCACUGUCCCCAAAGACCCUUCAAGAUGCUGAGACAGAGGGCAUGGUCUGCUUGCAGUGGAGUCUGUGAGCACCCAGGACCUGGGUUCCAGAGUCGGUUCCGCUACCAACCACCCAGGUUUAGGAUAAGUCACUCGGCUUGUGGAGCCUCAACUUUCUCAACUGUCAAAUGGGGCAGCAACAUCACAUCAGCCGUGAGCAAAACCAGUUCGGUAAAAAUCACAAGGACCAAGCCCAGAACCGGGUGACGGUUAACAGCCACAGCAACAGGAGAAAUCCAAGAGGGUCGAACACCAGGCACCGGGAUUCUGGCCGCCCACCCUCCCCCAAGGUGGACUCCCACAAUGUUAUAAAGAAAAGAUGAAUCCAGAAUCUUACUGUUCACUACUGGCACGUCUUCCCUGGUGACCAGAAGGGAUUGGAAAUUUUAUUAUUAUGAUGAGCACGUGCUGGUGAGGUUAUAUGCUUGGUGGUGCGCGACCUCUCUUUAUCAAACACAUGUGAGAGCCUGCUGUGCACCAGGGUCUGUGCUAAGUGCUUUAUGUGGGUUACUGCUGAUCUUCAUUAUAACCUUUCAAGGUAAGUGUUUUCAUCACCGGAUGGAGAAACCAAGGCUCAGAGAAAUCACCUUGUUAUUAAGUUGGGCAACGUGAAUUUGAACCCAACCCUGUCUUCUCCAAAGCCUACCAGACCCCUUCCAUUAAGAGGCUAAAGAUAUAGAGAGUAAGGGCAAGUGAACACAUUAAACAGAAUCAGAAGGAUUGGGUGGUUGUAGCUUUUUGCUUUUUUGUGUUAGAUCUGUUUUCAGUUAACUUCAAAUACCAUGAGGCGAAUUUCACCUCAUGGUGAUGAGUCAGAGUCCAGUUGCUUUUUGAUCCUGCUUGGAAACCCAGAAUGUGCCUAACACAAAAGAUGGUCCAUAAAUAGACUCAUAAAAAAGGAUGACUUUGAAAUGAGGCGUUGCCUAAGACAAGGACUUCAGCUCUAUGGUUUUUGUUUUUUUUUUUUUUUCUCCCAUUAUGACACUGCUUUCUGAACCAAAAUAAAGAUAAGGUCUGGGAGUAUCCUGCAGACAUGGCCUAGGCCCACCUGCAGGUUGCAUUUCCUAAAGCAGGCCAGUUGGACCAUCAAUGAGCCUUGUAAUCCCAACCACUUGUGGCAAGAAGGCUUUCAGUAACUGGAUACCCUGAAUUAUGUGAUGGCCCCAUAAAGGGGUGUGACACAUGGGGCUGAAGUCACAACACAGAUCAGGGAGUUGAAGUCCCCCUGGCCUCUAUGGAAUGCCACUGAAAUACAUCCUGCGGCAAUCACAGCAUAUUGUCUUACCUGGAUGCAUAGCUGCACUGCCCUUCUCUCCAUAAUAGCCUUGAAGCCUUUACCUGCAUUAGAGCAGCUAAAACUGCACUUUGAGCACAAGGACUAACACUGUGAUUUAAAAGGUGGUUAAUUAACCUUGGGAAACUUGGACAUCAUGAGUGCAAAACUCAGAUUCUCCAAUAUAGUUUGCCACUUAAAAGAAUAGGCUAUCAGCUUUCUACAGGAGGGUUCACUAGACUGAAUAUGAUUGGGAUGGGAGGAGGUUUGGGUCAUAUGAGCUUAGUUGACUGACAGGAGAAUCUAGUCUUCCCUAGAUUGCCAUGCAAGUUAGCUCCCUGAGGGUUUUCUAGUAUGGAGGCCCUUGGCUGUUAGUAUGGUUUGGGCCCAGGCACAAUUAGCAUUUAGGCAGCAUCCCAGCUCUGAGGGCUCCCAAACUACCCCAGGCAUUUGGAGGAUGACUGCUGUGCCUUAGGAGAGAGAGAUUCAGGCCAAAGGCCUCCCCUCUGAGCUCUCCUGAUUCCGAUUUCCCAGACGAUUUCCCAUAGCGACAACCCAUGGAACCAAACUCGAGCAGCUGCAAGCUCAGUGGGGCUCACAGCUUCCAAGGGAUCAGACAUUUCCAGCAACCCCAGCAGUGCCAGAUUUGAGAGUGAGGUGAGUGCGCAGAUGACUUUUCCCACCAGGAUGAGGGGCGGGGCCUCGGGGGGGGAGGGGCGCGGCGGGGCGGAAGG